AAUAAUCUGCACUGUGACUGUUUGAUAAUAAUAUAAUAAUAAUAUAUAUUUUUUUUACCUUAAUAGUGCCGACUGCUGAGUAGCCGAGCUGACACUUACAGUCGGCGAAUGAUACUUAUACUUGUGUUUAUCAUCCAAGUUAUUACAUAAUAAUUAAUUAUAGAGAGUUGAUCGUGUAAAAGUGUAAUUCCAUUAUUCCUCAGUCCUCACUCCUCACUCAUCUGCUGAGCAAUAUUAAAGUAUACCGCCGUCAGCCCCAUUAUGAGUAUUUUCAGUGACGUCGAGGAAACUCAGCCCAUCAAAGUGUUCCAUCUAUUGAAAGUCUUUAAUGAAGACAACGAUCCACCGAAAAUAAACUUGACCAUUGGGCGUAUAAGACAGAUGAAGGCAAACCAUAUUAUAUUCCUGUUGUGAAAAAAGCUGAGAGUGUGGUACUUGAUGAUACAUUGAAUCAUGAGUAUUUACCCAUAUUGGGCUUGGAAUCUUACUAAAGCUGCGUCACAACUACUAUUGGGCGAUAUCACUUAACGACAAGAAGAAGGAACCAUAUUUGGUGUUCAAUCAAUCAAUGGUUCUGGAGCACUUCGAGGAGGACUUAGAGUGGGACCAAAAUUUUUAGUCAAACAUUUAAAAUGUACCACAUUCUAUUAUUCAAUACCAACUUGGGGAGUUAUUUGAUCUUACUUGUGAAGUAAACUUCACUUUCAUCUUUGAGAAACUGUUAAAUUGAUAGUGAUUUUUGGCGAGUCUAGAAUAAAUUCUUGUCAACAACUUAGAAUCAGUUUCAUAAAGGUACUCAUAAAUUGCUCAUUUGAUUGGAGGUUUUGUUGGAAUAAUCUAAUCGACAAGUAAUGUAAUAUAAUAGUGUGCAACCGGUUUCUGACAGUUUUCAGCAAAUGUGGCGCAUCAGAGAAUAUAAACACUUGGCGAUUGUUGUCGAAUGGAUUGGUUAAUGAAUUUUGUAUUUUUUAUUAUUAUGCAUAAAUUCCUAACGUAUGCCACAUUGUACGAUAAGUUGAUGAGCCAUCGCUUGUUAUGGCUAGCACUUGAACCCCAGAAUUUUCCAACAAUAGAAUCGCCUUCAGCACAAUUUUAGUUAGAUCAAUACCUAUUCAAUUUCAAGAAUUAAAUUUAACUUAUUGUACUAUUUAAUAGUUAAUACACAGUUCACUUAAAUGUUCCUUUAACUGGUCCUUUUGAGGCAAAGACAGCAAUUGACUGAUGAAACUUCUCAGAUAAUCCUUGAAUCAUUACAACUAAUGCGUGAUUAGCUUUUUCUGUUCUUUUAGGUUUGAACUCAUCUCCAUACUCUUCCAAACCAUGUAAGUUAGGUUUCUAGUGUUUACAGAUAUACUCUCAAAGAAAUUUCAUCAAACACUUAUACAACUUUUUUUGAUUCUCUGUUUUAAUAUCAAAUUUUUUUUUUAAUAGUUUGAAGAAAUUAUUGUCAAAACCACAUCUAAUCUUAACUGCUAAUAAGUGAUGUCUUAACGUUGUUACACAUGGGCAAUGGCAAGAUAUUUUGUCCUCAAAGAAAUGAAUAACCGCUUGGAAAUCUAUGAAGUAUUCCAGUAUUUUUAAAUUAUUAAAAAACUUGAAUAUUA